rnacentral:rRNA from 1 species
CGAGCGGAAGAAGGGAGCUUGCUCCCGGAUGUUAGCGGCGGACGGGUGAGUAACACGUGGGUAACCUGCCUGUAAGACUGGGAUAACUCCGGGAAACCGGAGCUAAUACCGGAUAGUUCCUUGAACCGCAUGGUUCAAGGAUGAAAGACGGUUUCGGCUGUCACUUACAGAUGGACCCGCGGCGCAUUAGCUAGUUGGUGGGGUAAUGGCUCACCAAGGCGACGAUGCGUAGCCGACCUGAGAGGGUGAUCGGCCACACUGGGACUGAGACACGGCCCAGACUCCUACGGGAGGCAGCAGUAGGGAAUCUUCCGCAAUGGACGAAAGUCUGACGGAGCAACGCCGCGUGAGUGAUGAAGGUUUUCGGAUCGUAAAGCUCUGUUGUUAGGGAAGAACAAGUGCGAGAGUAACUGCUCGCACCUUGACGGUACCUAACCAGAAAGCCACGGCUAACUACGUGCCAGCAGCCGCGGUAAUACGUAGGUGGCAAGCGUUGUCCGGAAUUAUUGGGCGUAAAGGGCUCGCAGGCGGUUUCUUAAGUCUGAUGUGAAAGCCCCCGGCUCAACCGGGGAGGGUCAUUGGAAACUGGGAAACUUGAGUG